UACGAAGGGGACGAGCGUUGUUCGGAAUUACUGGGCGUAAAGGGCGCGUAGGCGGCGAACCAAGUCAGAUGUGAAAGUCCUGGGCUUAACCUGGGGACUGCAUUUGAUACUGGUUUGCUUGAAUUCGGGAGAGGAUAGCGGAAUUCCCAGUGUAGAGGUGAAAUUCGUAGAUAUUGGGAAGAACACCGGUGGCGAAGGCGGCUAUCUGGACCGACAUUGACGCUGAGGCGCGAAAGCGUGGGGAGCAAACAGG
rnacentral:rRNA from 1 species